CUUGCUCUCUUCCCCCGCCCCCCCGACCACACCCCCUUAAAGGGCCAGCCCUACUUCAGGCCCCCUCUCCUCAACCCCGCCUCCUGAAAGGGGAUAGGGGAGGAUCUACUUUGCAGGGUUCGGGGACUGUCUGUCCGGUCUCCUUUUACUUAACCUCUGGCCUCAAACCUAGACUUCUACGUGCCGGAUGCCUGGGUCUGCACGCCCACUAGGACCGUAGUCCUCUUCUGACCCUGUCUCAUUCUGUCACCGAGGCAGAAUCAGACAGUCUAGGCAUGAGACCGAGAGGGCGCAGAUGCGGUGAGGAACGUGCGGGACCCUUGGUCAGCAAGGGGCGAAAGAACUUCCGCGCAUGGUCGACACGUGGACAGGGCUUCCGGGGGUCGGAGGUGCAGAGGGGUCUAGGUACUGUCCAGGUGCCAGGAUGCCCUACUUGGCCCGGUCUCACGCCCCUCAAGGAAGAGCUCGGGGUGGAGGCGUGUAGAAUUGGUCGUUUGGCUUACAAUAGCCAGGACCUGGGACGACCACCGCCCACCGGCUGAGAUGGCGGCGCGCGUGGUAUUGUGGGCAAUGUAGUCCGCGGUUCGUCGAUGCUGCCCCUCCCAGCUGCAGAGCCCGCAUUGAAGCGCAAACUUGUUUGGGGCGCGCCCCUCUGAGCUGGCUGGGUUGUGCUGGGCGAGGCCCUGGGCACCCCACAGCUUGAGCGUGUGCAAAGGAGGAAACUCGGGUGCAAAGAGCUAGCAUGUGGGGAAGCCAAAACUCACAGUGACAAAGGAGGCCACGUUCCAUUCUUCCUUUAUUAUGUCUGCAUCUUUAAGUUGUUUCAUUCAUUCGUUUGCCUUUCUGCUAGACAGCGAAAAUUUGGUGGGCCAGAGCUCUGAGGACUUUACUGAUAUUCAAGCUUGAUUCGGCAUGCUCCUUGUCAAACCUACAGGCAUUAGGAAAUUAUUGGGUCCUUACAGAACUCUAGUUCCUAAAACUCUCAGACUCAGGCAAACGACUCUCCAUCUUAUUGGUUGAACAAACGACCGAAAAGGAAAACAAAACAAAACAAAACCCGAUGGACUUCCUCUGAAGGCUGUGGGGAACAUUAAACAGGAAAACCCAUGGAAA